GACGAAGGGGGCUAGCGUUGUUCGGAAUUACUGGGCGUAAAGCGCGUGUAGGCGGUUGUCCAAGUUGGAUGUGAAAGCCUUGAGCUUAACUCAAGAAAUGCAUUCAGGACUGGAUGACUAGAGGACCGGAGAGGAUAGUGGAAUUCCCAGUGUAGUGGUGAAAUACGUAGAGAUUGGGAAGAACACCAGUGGCGAAGGCGGCUAUCUGGACGGUUUCUGACGCUAAGACGCGAAAGCGUGGGGAGCAAAAGGG
rnacentral:rRNA from 1 species